UGGGGAAUCUUGCGCAAUGGACGAAAGUCUGACGCAGCCACGCCGCGUGAGUGAAGAAGGCCUUCGGGUUGUAAAGCUCUGUCGAGCGGGACGAAAAACGGUAAGGUUAAUAGCCUUAACGUCUGACGGUACCGCUAAAGGAAGCAACGGCUAACUCCGCGCCAGCAGCCGCGGUAAUACGGAGGGUGCAAGCGUUGCUCGGAAUUAUUGGGCGUAAAGGGUAGGUAGGUGGUCUCAUUUGUCUGGGGUGAAAGCCUUGAGCUUAACUCAAGAAGUGCCCUAGAAACGGUGAGACUGGAGUCCUGGAGAGGGUCGUGGAAUUCCCGGUGUAGCGGUGAAAUGCGUAGAGAUCGGGAGGAACACCAGAGGCGAAAGCGGCGACCUGGACAGGUACUGACACUCAACUACGAAAGCGUGGGGAGCAAAC
rnacentral:rRNA from 1 species